UGAGCCUACGGGGGGCAGCAGUGGGGAAUAUUGCACAAUGGGGGAAACCCUGAUGCAGCAACGCCGCGUGAGUGAAGAAGUAUUUCGGUAUGUAAAGCUCUAUCAGCAGGGAAGAGAAUGACGGUACCUGACUAAGAAGCCCCGGCUAACUACGUGCCAGCAGCCGCGGUAAUACGUAGGGAGCAAGCGUUAUCCGGAUUUAUUGGGUGUAAAGGGUGCGUAGACGGGAAAACAAGUUAGUUGUGAAAUCCCUCGGCUUAACUGAGGAACUGCAACUAAAACUAUUUUUCUUGAGUGUUGGAGAG
rnacentral:rRNA from 1 species